rnacentral:rRNA from 1 species
GACGUAGGGCGCGAGCGUUGUCCGGAUUUACUGGGCGUAAAGAGCGCGCAGGCGGUCGUUCAAGUCGCGUGUGAAAGCCCCCGGCUCAACUGGGGAGGGUCAUUCGAUACUGAUCGACUCGAAGGCAGGAGAGGGUAGUGGAAUUCCCGGUGUAGUGGUGAAAUGCGUAGAUAUCGGGAGGAACACCAGCGGCGAAGGCGGCGACCUGGAUGAGUACUGACACUCAACUGCGAAAGCGUGGGGAGCAAACAGG